AGCUCCACGAGUGUAUAUUUAUGUUGUUGCGGUUAAAAAGUUCGUAGUCGAAACUUUGUUGUGUUGUGGUGCUGCGUUGAAAAACUCGACGUGCGCCACACGCUUCAUGUCGGGCGGAAAUGAGUGUCGGGGGAUUAAUUUCUCUCGGCGCGCAGCCGUCCAUAGCCCCGUGAAUAACUCAGAGCGUUCAAAGCAGGCUCUUGGGCCGUUGAAUGUCAAAGCAUGGGAUGCUGGAAAAGGACGAGUUUCCUUUUGCUGGUUCAAGCGAAAUUCGUAAUGAUAAAUGGAAACGAUCGGGGCCGUGCGUAUUUGGGGGUGAGAGGUGAAAUUCUAUGAUCCCUUGAAGACGAUCUACUGCGGAAGCAUUCGGCCAGGGCGUGUUCGUCA
rnacentral:rRNA from 1 species